UUUAUGGGUAGAUGAAUACCUGUGUCUUAUAGCUAUUAUAGCAAUUGUGGUGUCAUUUUAGAGCUAAUUCAAAAUGAAGUUGAUUUUUAUCGGGGAUUCGAUUCGCACUUCUGCCUUGGUUCUCUUGUGUGUCAAUGUGGUUGCGAAUAUUUACGACUUGAUUUUGAUAUUAAUGAACUGUAACACAUAUGAAUUCGUUAAACUUCUAGGGAACGAUGUUGCUUAUAAUUCGUACCUUAUUCUGAUCGAAACUUUUUUAAUAAUGAUUGCGAUCAUGCUUAUGAAUAAAAGGUCUUCUUUCGAAGCAACUAUUAGUAUUUCAAUAAAAUACUGGUUAUUCGGGCUCAUCGUCGUGAUCCUAAGUCUGGAAAUUCUGGCUGCGGCCUCGUUUGGAAUUUUACUAUACAGUAGACACGCUGUAGAUAAAUUUUGGAAAAUGAAUAAAGAAAACAUGAGAGACGAACACGCACCUGUUCAUGUGUAUCUACUCGUAGCAGGUUUACUGAUAGGAUUCAUAGCUUUCAAACUGUACUCUGCUGGUGUGUUAUUUAUUUAUGGAAGCAAUAUUGCGAAUCAUGCGUACUGUGAUGGUGAUAAUAAUGACAUCGAACAAGGUGCAACAAGUUAUGAAGGACAACUUAAUGGGCCUUUGCCUUUACCUUAUCCACCUCCUUACGAUGAUCCUCCUAGUUACAGUGAAGUUUUAAAAGGCUGAAAAAUACGUGGGAAACGUUCUAGAGCUAGGUAGGCAUUUUCUAUUCUGAUAUCGACUGCAGUUGAUUGAAGAGGUGCACUACCCAUACCUAAUCGAUGGCCUACAAACUAAGACUUUGUCCAAUUGAAAUGCUUAUCCAUUUACUUAUUAGGAUUUGUCUCUUUUGUAGCUCGUGAUUCAUUAUAUUGUACCUAGCGUACUACUUAAGGUCCCUAUUCAAAAUGAAAAUAUGUUGUGCUGGAUAUUCUGCUGAAAUGCAUGUUGCAAUUGUACUUCUUAUAAAUGUGAUCUCAAAUAUUAUUCUACUGCAAAAUAACAGUUCAGAGUUCCUAAAGUUGAAAGCAAAAGACAACGAAUUAUCAUGGUACCUUAUCCUGAUCCAAACAAUUCUAUCUCUGUUUACGAUCGCUGUUGUGAUGAUUUUCAAAAACUCCGCAUCAAGCAUUGUAAUCUGGAACUGGAUUCAAGUUGUCUUAUUCGGAUUUAUAUUCGCUUUGUUGGCGUAUGAAAUCUUGGGUGUCAUUUUGUUCGCAAUUUGUUCAGUUUAUCAAGAAAGAGAUUUCAAUGAUAUAUGGAAAAUCACACGCAAAAUCAAGAUGAAUGAAACUGUGACCACCGAUUUUCAAAUUUUUGUUGCCAUUGUAUCGAUAUGCUAUUUUGUAUUCAAACAUUAUCUGCAUUGUAUACUUCAGCCUUCAAAUUGCAUGCUGCCACUGUAACGUUUGUUUUCGCUGGUGAAGUAGCAAAAUACAUAAAGACUGAUACGAGAAUCGACAACGAAGAACUUAAUUCUGGCGAAGAUUCAAUUAUUAUAAACUCACUUUCAACUGCCCCUCCUACGUAUGACUCAUGCUUCAUGGAAAUCGAAAAUAUGGACUGGAUGCACUCCCACAAGUUGCAGACGCCGCCGCCAAGUUAUGCAACUAUUUUCAGUUUUCCAGCUCAUUGAAAUAAAUGAAGUACAAGGACGAUUGAUUUACAUGAAAUUAAGAACUGGUAUCAUAUACCUAGACCUACAAUGCCUGAGUGAUAUUACAUUUUCAAAUUUAAAUCUAUUUUUGGUACCUACGUUUUUUUGAAAAGUUCCUAUUUUACCUACCUCAUAGUUUGAUAAUUUCAAAUGAAAUAAAAUUUGAAAACUGACUGCACCAAUUUUUUUUUAAUCAUCCAGUGUUUUGCCUUUAACGUUGGUGGUUUUUUGAAAUUAUAUUUUUUGUGUGGAUAAGGCUGUAAGGGGACAAUAUGCCUUCACUGGCUACACACUAGACAGGGAUACCUAUCGUAAUUCUAUCAGUGAUUUGGAAGUGGUUUCCAGCCAUUGAUGAAUUACCGAAUGAAAAACUUGUAAAAUUUUCCAUUGUGAAGAAAAUAAUGCACAAAAAAAAACAAUUGCUGAUGAGAGACACCCAAGUAUGCAUGGAUCCAAAAUAAGUACUUGGAUCAUCGAUACUACACUACUAAUAUAAUUUUUAGUACUCAGCAUGACCGUAGCGCUAGUAGUUGUACACUCAACCAUGGGGGGGGGGGUCCAUAUUUGUACCUGGGUCCAUAAUUGUACCUUCUCCUCUACAUAUUUUCACACCAACCAUUAAGGCCAGAUGUGAAAAGCUCGUAAGUUCAUGAAGUUCGAUUCUUUCUAAACUCGAGACGAUCAGCCAAGUCAAGAAGAAAUUCAACUUCACUUGUUGAUUUGGGCUUCUCCGUGUAGGUCUGGUAGUAGGGAGUAAUAGCCAAUAGGUCCAAUCCACUCUUAUAUAUGUAAGUUUAGUGCUUGAGUCUCAGGUCCUCCGCCUUAAGUGAUUCGGCUUUUGGGGAGUAAAUGUGUACGUAUUAUUUAUAAAAAGCGAUCCUACUUAUCCCACUAUACUGUGGAAUAUCUUUUCUUGGUUCAAAUGUGUAGAGUUUUGUAUAUUCAGAAUUAAUGGAAACUUGUUAUAAUUAAUUUCAUCAGUUAUAACAAAGUGUUCGUAAUUAU